rnacentral:sRNA from 1 species
UGCGAGGUCGGUUCCGCCCGACUCUAACAUGGCGGCGCCCUUUGUCUGCUCUGGAGUGCCGUCCCCGGCCUUCUCGCGGCCGUGAUGCACCUCCCUCUGCGGUGGGGUCCGGGACAUGGCAGGUAAUGACCCGGACGAGGGGAUCCAAGCUGGAGUUUACACAGGCAAACUGUCAGAAAAGAGUAGCCUGGGCUGUCUGGAAAUCUGAGCCAUGGACUUUCCCCAGCACAGCCAGCACGUCUUGGAACAGCUGAACCAGCAGCGGCAGCUGGGGCUUCUCUGUGACUGCACCUUUGUGGUGGACGGUGUUCACUUUAAGGCUCAUAAAGCAGUGCUGGCGGCCUGCAGCGAGUACUUCAAGAUGCUCUUCGUGGACCAGAAGGACGUGGUGCACCUGGACAUCAGUAACGCGGCAGGCCUGGGGCAGGUGCUGGAGUUUAUGUACACGGCCAAGCUGAGCCUGAGCCCUGAGAACGUGGAUGAUGUGCUGGCCGUGGCCACUUUCCUCCAAAUGCAGGACAUCAUCACGGCCUGCCAUGCCCUCAAGUCACUUGCUGAGCCGGCUACCAGCCCUGGGGGAAAUGCGGAGGCCUUGGCCACAGAAGGAGGGGACAAGAGAGCCAAAGAGGAGAAGGCGGCCACCAGCACACUAAGCAGGCUGGAGCAGGCGGGACGCAGUGCACCCACAGGCCCCAGCAGGGACCUCAAGGAGGAGCGCGGCGGUCAGGCCCAGAGUGCGGCCAGCGGUGAGUCAGAUGCCGAGGACCCAGCCGGCUGCCCUGUCACCUCCCAGCAGCCUGGGCACAGGGUAGUGAGGGCUGCCUUGGGGCAGGUAGCACGGGCACCUGCACCUCUUGAGCCUGUGUUACCCAGAAUGACCUAUUGUGUGUUCCAGGGGGUCUGUUUCAACCAGAGCAGACACAACAGCCUCAGCUAGGGGUGUGCUGGGGCCUCCCCUCCUGGGUCACACGCAGCCACCACCAGCGCGCUGGUCCAGGAGAGGUAUCCGACCCCUGGGCAGAGGGUAGCAAUCCAGCCUCCGGUGCUUCCCCCA